rnacentral:rRNA from 2 species
GGACUACCCGGGUUUCUAAUCCUGUUUGCUCCCCACGCUUUCGUGCCUGAACGUCGGUACUGGACCAGGAAGCCGCCUUCGCCACUGAUGUUCCUUCAGAUAUCUACGCAUUUCACUGCUACACCUGAAAUUCCGCUUCCCUCUUCCGUACCCUAGCUAUUCAGUCUCGAAUGCAAUUCCCAGGUUGAGCCCGGGGAUUUCACAUCCGACUUAGAUAACCGUCUGCGCACGCUUUACGCCCAGUAAUUCCGAUUAACGCUUGCACCCUCUGUAUUACCGCGGCUGCUGGCAC